CUGACUGCUAUCGGAUGAUACUAAGCCAUGCGAGUCUUUGUAGUAAUACAAGGCAGACGGCUCAGUAACACGUAGUCAACCUACCCUAUGGACAAGAAUAAUCUCGGGAAACUGGGCAUAAUUCUUGAUAGAUCAUAAUGCCUGGAAUGGUUUAUGGUUAAAAUGAUUCGUCGCCAUAGGAUGGGACUGCGGCCUAUCAGCUUGUUGGUGAGGUAAUGGCCCACCAAGGCGAUUACAGGUACGGGCUCUGAGAGGAGAAGCCCGGAGAUGGGUACUGAGUCACGGACCCAGGCCCUAUGGGGCGCAGCAGGCGAGAAAACUUUGCAAUGUGCGAAAGCACGACAAGGUUAAUCCGAGUGAUUUCUGCUAAAGAAAUCUUUUGCCAGUCAUAAAACCACUGGUGAAUAAGGGGUGGGCAAGUUCUGGUGUCAGCCGCCGCGGUAAAACCAGCACCUCAAGUGGUCAGGAUGAUUAUUGGGCCUAAAGCAUCCGUAGCCGGCUUUGUAAGUUUUCGGUUAAAUCCAUGUGCUCAACGCAUGGGCUGCCGAAAAUACUGCAUGGCUAGGGAGUGGGAGAGGUAGACGGUACUCAGUAGGAAGGGGUAAAAUCCUUUGAUCUAUUGAUGACCACCUGUGGCGAAGGCGGUCUACCAGAACACGUUCGACGGUGAGGGAUGAAAGCUGGGGGAGCAAACCGGAUUAGAUACCCGGGUAGUCCCAGCUGUAAACGAUGCAGACUCGAUGAUGCAUUGGCAUAAUAGCCAGUGCAGUGUCGCAGGGAAGCCGUUAAGUCUGCCGCCUGGGAAGUACGUACGCAAGUAUGAAACUUAAAGGAAUUGGCGGGGGAGCACCA
rnacentral:rRNA from 1 species